rnacentral:tRNA from 1 species
GGGCCGUUAGCUCAGUUGGUAGAGCAACUGACUUUUAAUCAGUUGGCCGCUGGUUCGAAUCCAGCACGGCUCACCA